GAACUUUCCAGCUAGAGUUUGACCUAAGGAAGGAUUUCAAAACUUACCCCUGCAAUGCUUUAACAGCAUUCAAGUCAAAUGGAGGCUUUUCAUACAGUGAAAUCCACAGUAGCUCUCUGUGGUAUGUAGGGCUACUAGCCAGAUAUACCUGAAAGCAAGCGCUUGCCUUGCUCUCCCUCUGCCACAGAACGAUGACACAGGGAUAACAAAGGGAAAUACCAGGGAAUGUCAAGUCAAACAAAUCGUAGAUCUUCUCUGGCGGCUUCUUUGACCUUGUUCUGAGUGAACACCGUGUACAUCAAGGAAGAUAAUUACAACUUUUUCAAGUCUUCUAAAAUCGAACUCCCUGUGGUGGCGACCAGUAUCUUCAAACUCAUACCAGAGUAAAGCCUUAUCCAUUUGGAGUUCUUUCUGAUGCAUUAUGUGAGAAAAACAAGCAAACAAAUGAACACUUAUUUGUAUUUGAAUUGCACUAAAUUUAUACAUGAAACUGAAAAAAACUGAUAUCUUUAUGAAGCUGCAUAAUCCUAUCCAAGGACAGACGUCUCCUUCCAUUUGCUUUUGCUUUACUAAUUUGAAUCUAUGUUAUUUGUUUUGGAUACAUCUGGAAUUGACUUUUUUGCAUGGUGUAAGAGCCAGCUCUUCUUCAGGAUAAGCAUGCCUGGUUUCUUCAACUUAUUCCACAAGAGUGAACAAGUAAGAAAUAACAGUUCUUCCUGGAUCAGCCCUCUCCCGUCUGUCAUCUCCAACAGAUACAAAGCCAGCUUUAAGAAGACCAAACCUACAAAAAUCAUUCAUGCUUUCUGCCUCCAUGUUUUUCUUUCCAACCUAGUUCCUCCAGAAAAUGUAAAAGAGCAACCGAACCGUCAACUGGUACAAUGACUUCUACACAUCAGACCUCGGCCACGCCACAGUCAUCAGAUUAUUCUAUCACAGGGUCUCUCAACCGUGGAAUAUGGUCUCCAAGGGAAACAAGCCACAGAGGGCUCAGGAGCAUUGCUAUAAAGAGUAGGCAAAUGGAAAUCUUUCCCCAAAGGGCACACUGGGAUUGUUAGGCGAGGGCUGCUCAAUCCAUUAAAAGUUUAAACUCGAAAAAAAAAAAGAAAAAAAAAACCUUUUGAAAAAAUACAGAAAGCAACCUGUUCUAGAUUUUGUGUAUAAAAGAGAGUUUAUUCAGGGGACUGAAAUGUUGACAGUGAAUCAACUGGGAGGAUAUUUUCAAUCAGAACCGUCUGACUGACAGCUUUCAUAUUAUUAAUGCACAUACUAGGAGACAUCAAAUUUGAAGGGCAGGCAUUGUGCUAAGUCAGACUUCUACCUUAAAAUGCAUUACAUUUUGUCUGUAAAUCAAGGUCAGUUAUUAAAUUAAGGUGCUCUCAUCCCUAAAUACUUUAUUCCAUCAUCGUGUGUAAUUAAUCACAAACCCCUUACUUGGGGUUCUUUAGAAAGUGAUGAGCAAAACCCAUAAAAAAUUAAGAGAAAAAAUAACAGGUAUCUUUUAAAAAACAGGGAAUAAGUGCAAGGAAAUUUAAGUAUAAGUAAAAAAAUUUGCACGAUUCUUUAAAUAGAUAAUAGAUAUAAUAAUAAUAAUUUUGCAGCCCUACAAUUCCACAGCAUAUUAAUCUUUUCAAAUCUGUUAUUUUUCACCAUUAAAACAAUCAUGUAAAACAGGUGGAGUACUUCAAUAUUCCAAUUUCACAGAUGCAUACACUGAGUCAAGGAAAAGUUAAGUAUCUAUUAAGUCAUCCAGCUUACUGGAUAUGGAACUGAGACUUGAAAGCAUAUCUUCUAAAUCCGACCUCUUCUCUAAAGAUAGUGUCACCUUUCUCCAAAGAUAGUGUCAGGACAUAGAAAGCAGAAGUUAAACUGUAUGCGCUAUUCUGCCUUCCAUACUUAUUUUUCCCAAGAAGUAAUUUAAAAAACACAUUGGAGAUAAUGCUUGUGAAGCACUUUGCUAAAUGCUAAAUUGUCCGAACACUUUGGAAAAAAGUGGCAGUUUCUUAAAAAAUUAACAAAGAAUUACCAUAUGACCCAGCAAUUCCACUCCUAGCCAUGUACUGAGGAGAACUGAAAAUAUAUGUCCAUGUAAAAACUUAGAGUUAAAUAUUUGUAGCAGCUUUAUUUAAAAUAGCCAAAAAGUGGAAACAACCCCCCAAAAAUGUGCCUCAGUGAUGGAUGUAUAAAUAAAACAUGUUGUAUACAUAACAAUGAAAUAUUAUUUAGCCACAAAAAGAAAUGAAGUUUCUUUUUAUAUUAGUUGGCCAUAAAAAGAAAUAAAGAGUUUUUUGUUUUGUUUUGUUUUGUUUUUUUGUAGCAUGUACUGACCUGGAAAACCUCAUGCUAAGUGAAAGAAGGCAGUUACAAAGGACCACAUAUUUUUGAUACCAUUUAUAUAACAUGUCUAGAACAGGCAAAUCUAGAGAGAUGGAAAGUAGGUUAGUGGUUGGCUAGUACUAGAGUAAGCAAGCAGGGAUUGGAGGGUAUUGGCUAAGGAAUACAGGGUUUCUUUCUGUGGUGCUUUUCUUAAAAAGUUCUAAAAUUGAUUGUUGUGUUGUUUGCACAAUGCUGUGAAUAUCCUAAAAGCUACUGAAUGAUACACUUUAAAUGGGUGAAUUAUAUGGUAGGUAGAUUAUGUCUCAAUAAAACUGUUAAAAAACACAAAA
rnacentral:lncRNA from 1 species